rnacentral:rRNA from 1 species
GACGAACGCUGGCGGCGUGCUUAACACAUGCAAGUCGAACGAUGAUCUCCCGCUUGCGGGGGUGAUUAGUGGCGAACGGGUGAGUAAUACGUGAGUAACCUGCCUUUGACUCUGGGUUAAGCCUGGGAAAGCGGGUCUAAUACUGGAUACUACUUCCUGCCGAAUGGUGGGGGGUGGAAAGGGCUUUACUGGUUUUGGAUGGGCUCACGGCCUAUCAGCUUGUUGGUGGAGUAAUGGCUCACCAAGGCGACGACGGGUAGCCGGCCAGUGAGGGUGAGCCGCGGUCCAGGGGCUUAGAGAAGGCCGCGGUUCCGACGGUGGGGAGCUGGGGGGAAUCCUGCUCGAGUGGCGGGGGCCUAAUGCAGCGACUCCUCGGGUGUGAUAACGCCUUUAGGGUUGUAAACCUCUUGCAGCAGGUAAGAAGCCACUAGUGACGGUACCUGCAGAAGAAGCACCGGCUAACUACGUG